UUCAAAAAGGGUUGCAACUGCCCGCAACAAGACCAGAAGGCAUCAACAAAGGCAUGGAAAUUCAAGCGAGAAAAAAAAAAACAACUAAAGACUGAGAAGAGUAAGAAACCUUGUUUGAACUAAAAGGAAGACAUAAUUCACAAGAGACAUCGGACAUGCAGGGAUCCAUCUGGGAGGGCAAGGAACUCACCAAGGGACUUGGAAAGAUAGGGGAGAAAACAAUCAGAAAGGCAAGAUACACGGGGAAAAAAGCAACAGCAGCAGGACAACUUCAGAAGUCAGGAAACAAAGAGAUGAAUGAGUGAUGGAAACAAUGAAACACAAACAACCAAGGAGCAGUGCCAACCGUUGGCUGCCGAGGCCACAGUCUUUCCUGAGGAAGUGUCGAAACCAUUUAACCAUUCUCCAUCCCUAAAUGUCAUUCUUACAUCAUUUGUCAUUGAGUGUCAGCAGGUUGUGUCACCACUGUAAAGAGGUCAGUGGUUCGAUGGUAGGAUUCCUGAUUGUAACAUGUACAACUUUGCCGAACUUUGGUGAACUUUGUUGUAUGGACCACAUCCUACUAGGGUUGUACCCCACACAUACACCCCACUAUGGCCAUCGCAAUUAAGUGAAAGAAGUUUUUCUAAUUAAUGAAUCAAUAAGAUAUUAUCCUAUAUAUACUCCGAACUGAUCUGUCCCUCUGACUGCACACUUCACCACCAUCAGCGCCAGUAUGCCCCGUUGACAUCCCUUAUCCAAUCACAUCACAUACAAUGUAUAAACUGUGUUGGCUGUUCAGGAUAUUUGUCAUUAUUGAAUAUUUAAUUUUUGAUUGUGUACUUUACACUGUUUCUUGAAUAAAACGUCCAUGACAGAGAAUGAGUGACAGAGGGUAAAAGACACUUGAACAACUGUCAGGGAAGAUGAAUUUAAAAAAACAAUGACAAAGAGUUUAAAGGAGUUUCAAUGUUUUAAUGCAAAAAAUAAUGAAUCUGUUCUCUGUUUUUACCCGAGUCUACACACAAACAACACAUCGUGUGAGAGGGGGGACACCCAGUACAGCUCAGUAGUUCACUAGUCAAUCUGCUCUGUGAUCGUAGUAUAUACACUGUAUGUGGACAUUAAAUAACAUUGGUCUCACACAGUAGGUCAAUCAGAACCGUCUGAGUGGAGAAGGUUCAGGAGUGUUUGUACCAUCUUUGAACGCAUAAAGUGACGUUGUCCACAUCCAAACAGGUUGGACACGACAUUUUAAAAAGCAGCUGAAACCACUUAACAGACACACUGUAAACUAAUAUUAGCUCCUCAUCAAUUUACAAAAUUGUCAUUUUCCAUUCAACAGGCCCUUGACAGUCAAUGACGCACACGCAGUAGAACUCUUCGGGUAAGAAAAGAAAAUAACGUCUCUCCACCACAGAUAAAAAUAGGACCAGAAAGAGAUCACACUGCCACCUCAUAUUAAUAUUCUUUACCCUUUACCCAGCAGAACAGUGUGCCUGAACAGUGGAUUAUUAUUAUUAUUAUUAUUCCUCUUUUGCUCCACUGCUGUUGAUUGAACUCCCAGCAUGAACCAAACAGUUUUUUCCCCCACAACCUGUUUUCAUUUGUAUUGUUGUGACCUUUGAAAACCUGUCCACCACCCAGUGUGAUUUGUGCUUGAACUUGUGGAAUCAAUUUAAUAAAGUCAAAAACAUAUAACAAAUAACGCAGAACUAAACAGCUUUAGAAGAACGACUGUAUUAGAAUAACAGAGACUGUAAUUGUUUUUUUUAUUUU